rnacentral:lncRNA from 1 species
AUAAAAAUAAAUAACAUAACAACAAACCAAAUUUUAUGUAAUAUGAUAUUAAAAAGUUUGCUUACCAUGAACCACACAGUAUACAAAGACAUAACAUGUUUUUGUGAAUUAAUUAUUUUGAUAAUAAAAAAAGAUAAAGACACAUUAAUAAAUAUUUUACUACUGAUUAAAAACACUAUGCCAUGUGAUUUUUUUUAUCUUUUCUUAUCGAAAACUUUAUAUCAUUUAUUAAACUCGUCUUCUUAUAACAAAAGAAUAAACGACAUUUAUUUUUAUUAUUUAUUUGUGGGAUUACAUACAAAUAAGGAAAAACUUAUAUUACAUACUUUAGAAAUGUUAAACACUUUUAGUUUGCAAAAUGAUUGUUACGAUAUACUCCCAUUAUCUAGCUUACUGUACAAGCUACUGGAAAUGAAAAAAAUAAUUUAUGACAUAUACCUGUUUUCUAUUAGCGCGAAUAUAUUACAUAUAAUAUUAAAUAAUCAGAAGAAACACGAAUAUCUUACACACACUGAAGAGUUAAUAAAAAUAUGUUGUACUUUAUUAAAAAACACUAAAAGAAAAGAUGUGUUAUAUAUUUUUUUACUUUAUUCACACAAAAUAAUAGAUUUAAAUGAUGGUGUUCUUGAUAUAUUUUUAGUGGUAACCUUAUAAAAAUAAAGUUAAAAAAUAAAAAUAAAUAAAUAAAAUA